AAUCUGCUGAUCCUGGGGACAGACUUGACCACAGUGAGCAGGUGAGACACACAGUUCAGCUUCAAUCCUUUCAAACGCCACUUUUUCUCACAUCAAACCCUUUUCUCUGUCAUGUGAAGAUUAAAAACUAGCUAUUAAAAUCACAGUCAAAAUUAUCAUUGUAAAAACAAUCAUCUGUUUUUUUGAAUUUCCUUCUGGUAAUCUAUCCAUUCAAGCAAAUUGCUGAGUGUUAUAAUUGUCUGUGUUGUCAGUUUGUUCAACAGUUUUUACUGAACUCUGACACUUGAUGCUGCUCUGAGUUUGUUGAUUUGUAACAUGUGCUACUUUAAAUCUUGUGGAAGUUUGUGAAAGAUUGUGUUGAUUGGUUCAGAUAUCUUUAGUGUGGAGCACUGUAUUGUGGAGCAGAUCACCAUUGGGUGUGGCUGUAUAACAUGUUGAUUGUGCGUUGUUCUGUCUGAGACUCAGUGUGUGUGAGACUGUUGUUCAUAGAGUGUGUCGUUGGGACAAAUAAAGUCAGUGUUGGCUGCGUGUGGAUGCAGCUCUAUAAUUAAAAGUUGAUCCACAGAGCAGUUGUGUUCUUUCAUAUCUGUAUUUAGUGAGUAUGUUGCCCUUUGACGUGAAUUCGAGGUAAUUGUGUUACGAGCUGGAGAGAUAGCGCUGUGUGGCGCUGAGUGUCGUUGAGUAGGGCACGGUGCAUCGGCGAGACGGAGAGUUGUGUACUCGUUGCUGGUCGGAACAAGACUGAGAGAAACAAGGGAGUUAAGGGGGUGUGGCCUAUCCCCCUUCCUUCUCGCUCAUUCAAGUUUCUGUGAGCCUGACUUUUAUUUUUUUAAGUGCCUCUGUGUCUGUAGACCUGCAGUUGUGUUAAAGUGUUAAAAUUAAAUGAUACACACUAUACACCGAAAAUAUAGAGCUCAAAGAGUUUUUAUCAACGAUUUGCUGACAGUUCUGGGGUCUACGGAUUAUAUUGUGUGUAGCUCGACCUCUACUUAAAUAAUGUUACACAACUUGUUUCGACCAAACUUCUCUGCAGUACGUGAACAUCCAGCUCCCUGAUGUAGUCUUAUCUGGACACAACCAUGUGAAAGCACACACACAAGUGGCUCACAGACACACUAAGUGAGAAGUUUGUAGUGUUAGUGUUUGGAAUUCAAACUGAAGACUUUCCCUCCUUUUGGUUUUUAAUAGAACAACAUGUUUCCUGUCCUUGAAACACGUCUGGUGUAGAAGGAGGCGCUUUAAAUAAAUCAAUAGCUGCUAUAGUUUGACUCUAACGUUCUCCAUUCUGCCACAUGUACAAGAUUAAAAAGCAAGUUUGUGUUUGCAGCGUCUACACAAUCAGUCUGAGGAAAACUGUGACCUCAACUAUGCCAGUGUCCACUUCAGGAAGAGGGAGACAGAUCCCGUCUACUCCAGCGUCAGAUCAGCUGAACCCAGUGAACACAAGGAGGUGGAGGAGGUUGCGUACGCUUCUGUCAACUUUAACAGAUCUGCCCCGAGAACCAGAGGUCAGGACACUGGAGAGGAUCCAGCUGCAUUGUACAGCACAGUCAAAAAACCUCCUGCUGUUUAGACCAACGUCUGGAAAUCACCUUAGUCCCGAUGGAAAUAUCUCAACAGCUGCUGGAUGGAUUUGAAUAGAAGUCCAUUCAACUGUUCAUGGUCCCCACAGGAUGAAUCCUUCUUUGGUGACAGACUCCAGCAUCACUGUUGAAGUGAAUGUUCAGUUUUAAGUGACUUGUCUUGACAGCUAAUGGAUAAAUUGCCCCGAGGAUGAAUCCAAACGACUUCGGUGACUCGACUUUUAUCUGAAAUAUAUCAGCAACUUGUAGAAGUUGUUAAAAACGCCACAUUUAGCCUGAAUGAAAAAUAUCAAACAUUUUAUAACUUGCAGCUUCAAACAUUAAAAUAUCUGUGUUGCGUGUCAGCAUAAGGUCGACAAACUUUAAACUUGUAAAUAACUUUUUUCUAUUCAUAAAAUAAUCAAAACAAGCAUUAUUAUUUAGUUGUAGUGUGACACUGCUGCCACUAGAUAGUAGUAAAGAGUUUUACUGAUAAAACCACAAAGAGGAUUCUGUCCCUUUCUCUUCUUUCUGUUUCUACACUAUUGUUUCCAUCGUUUCCAUCAUCAGCCGAUCAGGAGUUGAACUCAUUUCCUCUGAGGACUGGAGGGAGCACGUCUCAUGUGGAUGUGAGCUGCUACUUACGUGAUGAACGCCUUGAAUGUGACCGUUAACACAAAGUGAACUGCUGACACCAGAUGAGCUGUGUUGCCUCUGGUGUCUGUUCAAAGUUUGCAUCAGGUCCAUUGAUUUCACUUUAGUGUUUUGUGGUAUUUCUCACAUCAGGUGUUAAACACGUGAAGAAGAAGGAGUUAGGUGUGUUUUAAUCCACCAUGUUCACACGGCGGCCAUUUUCCUCUGACGUCUCUCUCAGGGUGUGAAGCUCGAAUGUUGUUAUGAAAAGAAUAAUGUUGUACUGCUAUGAUCCAGGUUUAUAAGUUACACAAAAAAGUGAAUAUAUUAUUACUUAUUCUUCAUUAGGAUGACUGAUUAUUUAUUAUAACAUUAGUUUUGGUAAUUUUAGGAACAUAGUAAGUUUGUUUGCUGCACCUUUAGGAGACUGAUGUUAAUACUUUUUAUUUUUUUCUUUACAACAUUAUUCAUAUUCAUAGUCUUGUUUGUUUAAUUUGUUGUUCACUCACAACUUCCUCUUUUCUAACUUUGAGACGUACAGAUCCCUCUGCUUUGCUUGCAACAAAGCAGAGGGAUCAUUAAAAGUGUGUUUUUUAUACUGUUCAUAUAUUUUUAUUUCAACAUUAAAUGUGAAGUUCAUUUAUUCCUAUUUGCUAUUGUUUUUAAACUCUUACUAUAUUUUAAUCUCACUUCCAAUAUUUGUUCUGUCUUUCGUUCUUCCUUUUCAUAAUAAAGCCAUUCAGACGCCA